rnacentral:rRNA from 1 species
GUGGGGGAUAUUGCACAAUGGGGGAAACCCUGAUGCAGCGACGCCGCGUGAGGGAAGAAGGUUUUCGGAUUGUAAACCUCUGUCUUUAGUGACGAUAAUGACGGUAGCUAAAGAGGAAGCCACGGCUAACUACGUGCCAGCAGCCGCGGUAAUACGUAGGUGGCAAGCGUUGUCCGGAAUUACUGGGUGUAAAGGGAGCGUAGGCGGGAAGACAAGUUGAAUGUUUAAACUAUCGGCUUAACCGGUAGUCGCGUUCAAAACUGUUUUUCUUGAGUGAAGUAGAGGCAGGCGGAAUUCCUAGUGUAGCGGUGAAAUGCGUAGAUAUUAGGAGGAACACCAGUGGCGAAGGCGGCCUGCUGGGCUUUAACUGACGCUGAGGCUCGAAAGCGUGGGUAGCAAACAGGAUUAGAAACCCUAGUAGUCC